AGUUUUGUUCUGGGAGCUGAAUAAAUAAGCUUGGUAAAGCUGUUGAGAAUUGAACGAAUCACUACAAAUGUCAGCAAACUUUAUGCUGGUGAAGAGGAAAAGCAGCCUAGAUGUGUGUGUUUGUACUGCAGCUCCUAAAUUUCUGCAGUUAACAUUGGGCUGGUAGUCAGCAAUCCCUGUUUAAGGGAGAGGGUGUCAAAACAUAGGAAAAGUAGUAAAAUCCAACAGUUCCAAGGAACAACCACUUGAGUUGGGCUUUUUAAGCACAAUUAUGACAGUACAAGGAGAUGAUUUUAUUUACUAACUUUGAAGGGCAAGGAACUUAAUUUGACACACAAUUUGAGUCUGUUUCUUUAAGGAGCAAAGUCAUAAUUUUAUCAUGCAAUUAAGAAAUUCUUUUAUAAUUUAUAGUACAAUAUGACUACAACAUAUAGAUGCUAGCAUUAGAAAGAUAAAUCCUGCUGUUUCAUUAACUAUACAUCAUAAAACCAGUGCACCUUCAUUUUGUGUUAUGAAAUAUUUUUGAGUGUGUUAUCAUGAUUUCCAGUAUGUGGCACUAAUACUCAAGGCAUAAUUCUUUGAGAAGGAGGAAUUAAUUGCAGAUGGGAAAAGCAGUUCAGAAAAUUUGGAAUUACCAUGCCAGAGGUUCUUCAUUUAGCUCCUUCUUGUACUUUAUUUUGCAGUGAUGAUUCCUUGAAUUCAAGUGAUAAGUGACACUUUAAGCCAGACCCUGCUCUCUGCACAACAGCUGCUUGUGACUGACCUGAAAGACAGAAACCAACACAAGCAGCAUUCUGCUGCUUUAGUUUUCUUCACUAUUUCUUCAACACAAGAACAUGCCCUGGAAAUCUUGUUGGUAUCCAGAAGCCUCAGGAUUUGAUAGCCAUAAGGAACAAAGCCAAAUCCAUGCAAUUCACAAGAAGUCUGGAGUGUAAGGGGAAGGAAAUGUAGACUGACAACUCUCUAGAUCCUACUUUUGUCUUCCUUGUACUGUUCCGGGCGUUUCCAUCAGUGGAAAGUGUGCAGAGCUGUGGUUUGACAGGGUUCUGCAGUGACUUUGCUUUGCAGCAGGUGGAUGACUCUACACUGUUCCAUGCACAAGAGAAAUAGAUUUGAGGCAUCUGUUUUCAGCAGAGUCCAGCCUGAUUUACAGAGAAGCAAAUUUCAGAUUAUUUCAGUGAACUCCUGCACAUCAUCCUAUGUUUGCAUAAAAGCAGUACGGCAAAAUUUUGUGCAUCAUACUCAAGACAUCUUCCUUGCAAGUGAAAUGGAGAGGAAUGAGUGUUUCCAAGUGUUAUCAGAAAAAGAUGUGGUACAGUGGAGAACCUGAUCAGAUCUGCAGAUGAUGGAUUUUCCUUGAGUCCUGAUAUGUCAGCUUACAUUUCUAACAACCAGAUCAGAGUAGACACACCUAAGAGAAAAGACAGAAUUUGGAAAGUAUGGAGAAGGUAUGAUUGUCCUUUACACCAGGUCACUACAGGUAUAGUUAAGUGAAUGGAUUCUGCAACAGGAUGCAUUUCACAAGCAUUUCAACUGUUCAGCCAGAAAAAUGCUGAAAGCUUUUAAUUCACACUCACUUGAGUGAGCUGAUCCUUUUCUGUGAUGAGUCACUUAAAAUCAGUAAUAAUUUACUUAUUGAGUGAUUCCUGUCUCCAGUCUUUUUUAACAUACUGAUGAAUUUUUAAUUUAAUUUGCUAAUGUGUUGGCAAAUUAUACCAGUGUAUAGAAAGGGUCCUUUAAGGACUGGCAACCCUUUCUUCAUUUGUGCCUCUUCCUAAGACUCCAUUAAAAACUCUUUCUGUCCUGGCUUCAGCUUUGCACAAGUGUCUUCCCCAUCUUCUCGCUCAUUGCCUGGAUUUGUCCCUGUUGUGCUGCCCAGAACAUUCGCAUGAGUCAAUCUCACAUGCUCAGACAAAGGCAAGUUGACAGGCCUGGAUAUGAUCUGAAAAUAUGAAGGUUUUGUUAAGACCACAAAACACAGAAAUCUCUGUUCAAUCUGUGCUGCAAAAACACACAAAGUUUUUUUAUAUUUCAAUAAUUUUGGUCUUACUUCUACUGACAUUUCAUACAAAAUAUUUCCAUGGCAGGCCACAUUUGUUCUUACAAAAGCAACUUUGGGAACACCAAUGGUAGAAGUUUUGUUUAGUUUUGAUAAUGAGGGGAAGGUUGAUGGAAAGUUUGUAUUUGGAUUUCAAUUUCUGCAAAGAGUAAUUGUAAAAAAAAUUAGAAGCUUAGAUUUGGACCAUCAGGAUGAAGGUUUAUGGGAACAUAGAGCUUUCAUUGGCCCUGCACAAAUGGCUAAACUUUGCUUUCUGUGGUUUCUAAACACAAAGCAAUCCUUGUCUCUCUGUCAGGAAAAAGAUGUAAUAUCAGAGGUAAUGUUAUACUGAGAUUUCACUUUGCUCAGACCAAGAUAUUUGUCAAUUACAGCCCAGCAGAACAUUUGCUAGUAUGAUGUUGCCAGAGUUUAAAUAAUUAAAAAUGAGUUGUCUUCAGCAAAUAAAUAAAGUACACCUAAUGGAGCAUUAUGGAA